rnacentral:rRNA from 1 species
UAGGACACGCUGGCGGCGUGCCUAAUACAUGCAAGUCGAACGGUCUUUCUAUGGAAGCUUGCUUCCACUGAGAAGAUAGUGGCGAACGGGUGAGUAACACGUGGGUAACCUGCCCAUAAGAGGGGGAUAACAUCCGGAAACGGGUGCUAAUACCGCAUAGUUUUUCUUGAUCGCAUGAUUGAGAAAGGAAAGACGGCCUUUGUGCUGUCGCUUAUGGAUGGACCCGCGGCGUAUUAGUUAGUUGGUGAGGUAACGGCUCACCAAGACGAUGAUACGUAGCCGACCUGAGAGGGUGAUCGGCCACAUUGGGACUGAGACACGGCCCAAACUCCUACGGGAGGCAGCAGUAGGGAAUCUUCCGCAAUGGACGAAAGUCUGACGGAGCAACGCCGCGUGAGUGAAGAAAGGUUUUCGGAUCGUAAAACUCUGUUGUCAGAGAAGAACAAGUUGGAGAGUAACUGCUCCAGCCUUGACGGUAUCUGACCAGAAAGCCACGGCUAACUACGUGCCAGCAGCCGC